UCGGGAAUUUUGGGCAAUGGGGGAAACCCUGACCCAGCAACGCCGCGUGAAGGAUGAAGUAUUUCGGUAUGUAAACUUCGAAAGAAUAGGAAGAAUAAAUGACGGUACUAUUUAUAAGGUCCGGCUAACUACGUGCCAGCAGCCGCGGUAAUACGUAGGGACCAAGCGUUGUUCGGAUUUACUGGGCGUAAAGGGCGCGUAGGCGGCAUGACAAGUCACUUGUGAAAUCUCUGGGCUUAACCCAGAACGGCCAAGUGAUACUGUCGCGCUAGAGUGCAGAAGGGGCAAUCGGAAUUCUUGGUGUAGCGGUGAAAUGCGUAGAUAUCAAGAGGAACACCUGAGGUGAAGACGGGUUGCUGGGCUGACACUGACGCUGAGGCGCGAAAGCCAGGGGGAGCAAACGGGAUUAGAUACCCUUGUAGUCCCUGAGCGGGCUGGCAAGGCGCAU
rnacentral:rRNA from 1 species